GCGGCACAGAGGGAAGCAGGUGGCGACACCGCGCGGAACCGAAGCCGUUCUCAGUUCGGAUCGGAGUCUGCAACCCGACUCCGUGAAGCUGGAUUCGCUAGUAAUCGCGCAUCAGCCAUGGCGCGGUGAAUACGUUCCCGGGCCUUGUACACACCGCCCGUCAAGCCAUGGGAGCCGGGGGUGCUUGAAGUGCGUCGCCGCAAGGCGCGCCCUAGAGCAAAACCGGUGACUGGGGCUAAGUCGUAACAAGGUAAC
rnacentral:rRNA from 1 species